CGGGGGGAAGGGGGGAGGGGGGGGGGGGGUCGCCACGAGUUUCCCUGCCUGGAAAAUCGAGACGAGUUUCGUUGUCGCCGUUGACGAACGGCCAAGGGGAAAAUGUAAUUCCCCCCGCGGUUUCCGUGACCGUGGACCGUGCUGAUUCCUUUUACUUUAUUCACACUUUACACUUAUUUACACUACUGCUCGAUCUCUCGUCCUUCUCGCGCUUGUCGCGCUGAAUUUUUUAAGAAUUGGCGGUGUGCAUUUAGAGAUUGCAUUUGGAUAAUUUUGAAAGACUUGUGGGAUAUAAGGAGAUUUGCGUAAUGAGAGAAAGAAGUAUAUGUAUAUUAUGUUAGAAGAUUAUGUAGAAAUCUUAACAACUACCUAGACUUCCAAGUAUAGACAAAAUCUUGGAAUCGAUAACGAGAAAGUUUCGAGAAUUCUACGAGCGAGGAUUAUGUGAAAGUAUCGCGUACCAACUGCAACAUUAUAAAGUCUACGUCGAAGUCACCAAGUGUUUGCGGGGAUGGCACGAAGACAUUUCCGGUGGCUUUAUUCAAAUCAGAAGAAUAAAUAACGAAGUGGCGACCCCGCCAAUAGUAAAGCUU